rnacentral:rRNA from 1 species
UACAGAGGGUGCAAGCGUUAAUCGGAAUUACUGGGCGUAAAGCGCACGUAGGUGGCUGGGUAAGUUGGAUGUGAAAUCCCCGGGCCUAACUUGGGAAUUGCAUUCAAGACUGCCUUGCUAGAGUGUGGAAGAGGGAAGCGGAAUUCCUGGUGUAGCAGUGAAAUGCGUAGAUAUCAGAAGGAACACCAGUGGCGAAAGCGGCUUCCUGGUCCGACACCGACGUUCAGGCACGAAAGCGUGGGGAGCAAACAGG